rnacentral:lncRNA from 1 species
CUUAAAAGUUGUAGCAGAAUUGUGCCGAGGCUAAAUGUUGAUAUGAUUACUGUAUUGCUCUAGAUGAGGUUCUGUCUUUCACUCGAUUAAAUUAAAGUAGGACUAGUAAAACUUUUCUUACUUUGAAGAUUAAGCUUUGUGAAUACUAAUAUUGUCUUAAAAGUUGUAGCAGAAUUGUGCCGAGGCUAAAUGUUGAUAUGAUUACUGUAUUGCUCUAGAUGAGGUCAGGCCCAAUUAUUUUUUUAAUGGGCUGGACCUGAGAAGAAUAAUUAUUACAGAUUUCUGGGCUAAACAAGUCGUUGCCUACUCGUUGAUGCAUAGGGGCACAAAGCUGAGACUCGCCCACGUUAUUAAGCUUUUAAGC